AUGAGCAAAGCAAGCCACCUGUGCUAUUUCUCCCCUGGGAGCCCAGGGUGCAAUGGCUGCAAAUAGGAGCCUUUUCGGUAGUGUAUACAGCCUGUUGCCUGCAUGAGUUGCCCUAAGGAACUUGAAUACGACC
ensembl:snoRNA SNORA70 Small nucleolar RNA SNORA70